rnacentral:misc_RNA from 1 species
GAGCACCAUGGUCGAAGAGACGAGGGUUAACUUUAUCGAGGCUUUAGUAUUAUAACCAUGCUUAAGCCUACAAUGCCAUGCUUUAAGUUUAAUAAGAAAACGGGACGAUCAAUUUUGGGAAACGUACGUGGCAGCAUGAUGAAUAGCACAACGAAUAAAAUUACGAAAAUGUGGUCGUCUUGUCAACUCAGGUCGCGUAUCUUAAUGGAAUCGCUUCAUACACACUCCAUGCUGUUUACCAGAUUUGAGGCCUUAACUAGCCAUCUUAACAACACAACAUGCAAGUUUUGCUUGUGCAGGUGUCAACCUGUCACCAGCAACAAUCUCGCUAUCAUAGUUUGAGUAAUGAUUUUCAUUACUUUUAUUCCUGUGACCUGCUUUAAAACUAUGAUGCAUGACUUGCAUGAAUUCAGUGCAUUACAUGGGAACCUUAUAUUCUCCUGUUUAUUAUGGUAUAAACAGCAUCCCGUUUGAUGGAAGAAACUACCGUGUCUGUCGAGUUACGGAUUCUUCUUCACCCUUUCUUUAAAUGUCCUCGUGUACACCCAUGUGAGUCUGGGGGUAUUCACUAGGACCCUCUUUUUCCUAUCCUGCCUGGUAGGAUUCAAAUUCAACUCUUCAACGGAUGGAGCACUUGUGGAGGCCUGGCCGUAUUUCCCGGGCUCUAAGAUGGAAGGGAAGCAUCUACAAGACAAUAUGGAAAGACUUGUUGGUUUAUUACGCUCUGUAUUACCUGCUCACCAUUUUACACAAAUAUGUACUCGACGACGACGGAAAAAAAGCCUUCGUGGCAUUGGCGAAAUACUGUCUGCGGAAUUCCAAUUCCAUUAACCUCAUGAUUAUGUUAUCCUUCUUUACAACGACGGCUCUGCAACGGCUCUUCUCCAUGCAAACCAUGAUUCCGGGAACGGCGAAAGUCAUAACAUUUUUCAUCAUGUCACUCAAAACAAAUUUGCCUGAGGGUCCGAUUAUUGUUGAACAAUUCGCACGCUGGACGGUACUGGCCUGGAUACUCACUUUCCGUGUUGUUUGUAAACCUCUUAGAGCGUUAUUCCCGGACAUGAUUUCUCUUCAGGUGGCUGGUAUCAUUCGAGAGAAAGAGAGAUGCAUUUUGGAGAGGGUAGAGACGGAGCACAACACGACACCUCGCGCUUUGGUGGUCAUCGACUGGAUGAUUUUAUUACUCAAAGAAACCGCGAUACACAACCGUUUCACGGAAAAGUCUAAUCACCUUAAAGUUCUAGAUAUUGUAAUGUCAUUCAAGAAAAGCUGCGGAAACACGAUCAAAUUUGCAACUAAAAAUAUUCCGUACGCCCUUAUCCAGGCUGCCAUUAUUGUCGUGUACACGUACGGAUUGGUUACGUUAAUGGCCCGUAAUUUUGAAGAGGCGGCCAGCAGUGAGUUCAUGGAAGGGAUUGUAAAUUUUUUCCCCGUGAUUCCCAGCAUGCAGUUUUUCAUUUUUCUCAUCUGGCUGAAUUUUGGCCGAGUGGCCGUGAAUCCCUUCGGAACCGACGAGGAUGAUAUCGACGUCAAGCUGCUACUGGAGACUCAUAUCCAUGAUUCUUAUCGAUUGGGAAAUCUCUAUAAUCAGGAAUUGGAUCACAUUUUUGGCGCUAUGCCCCAGAAGCAAUACAAUGAAGCAUCUUCUCUUCAAACUUCUGCUCCCAUUUAGAUGAGCAUACUUCAACAGCAUAUAAACGGUGUUUACUUUCCUAAGAAGUAAGAACGUGUAACACGUUAGCAUUACUAUAAGGGUUAAACAGAGAAUUAGCUGCAAGAGGAUCAGAAAAAAAAGUGGGUCAGCCUAUUUUCCUUUAUUGCCCGCCAACAACUCCUGGAAGGUGAGCGGAUCCCAGCGGGUUUAUUCCGCUUGCGUUUAUAGGGGAAACCCACCGAUGUUUUGUUGACUAAUCUCACGCUCUUCACGCGAGUGCUGCUGGUGUCUGGUGCUUAUUUAAAAGCGAAAACUCUUUAGUUGUAACAG